CCUGAGAAACCCAAAAGAUCGAAUGGGGAGAUUCAUCGUCAGCUCAUAUUGUAUAUAUACAAGUUAUGAUGUGGGUUACUACUUGUAGUAUUGCCUAUACAUUCUUGUAUAUUUAGAUGCAAAAUGUUGCCGGCGUGCACUUCUUCUCUAGUAGGACGUCGCGACCCGUUGAGUGUCGGUCUACGGCCCAAGUGGGAGCCUUUAAUAUUUUUUAUUAAAUAUUGAAGACCCUUGGUGUUUUCUGACCGGCUACUCGGCGGUACUCGUACGGUAUUAAGCCGCAUAUAUUUAUGCGUUUAUACCCAUCGCAAGCGCGGCUAAAUUCUGAUAGUGCGGACCUAGUGCCGUCGUUAGAUUUGGCCAGCUGUUGGUUGUAUGGUGUUCUAAAACUGGCUUAAAAAUUAAAUUACCGGUCAGCGAUGCUACUGCUUUGGGUACUUUCAGG
rnacentral:rRNA from 1 species